rnacentral:lncRNA from 1 species
UGACUGGCAUCUUUCCUUCUAAUAUGCACAGGAGUCCUUUGUUUUUCAUAGUGUGAUAGCUCAUUUCUUCCUUUUUUCCCCUAAAAUAUUUGACUCAAUACCUAUAGCAGAGCCUUCUCUCCCAGAAACUGUGGGAAAAUGAGUGUCCUAGUUAACUUAAACUGUCAACUUGGUACUCAUAGACUCCUGUAUUUUAGUGUUUGUUUGAACCCAGUUGGUGGAACUGUUUUGGGAGGGACUAGGAGGUGUGGCUUUGUUGGAGUAGGUGUGGUUUUGUUGGAGGAAGUAUGUCACUGGGGAUGAGUUUUGAAGGUUCAAAAGCCUAUACCAAACCAACUUGCUCUCUCUAUCUGCCUCCAACUUACAGAGAAGAUGUCAACUCUCAGCUACUGCUCUAGUGCCUGCCAGCUGCCAUGCUCCCCACUGUGAUGGUCAUGGAGUCAUCCUCUGAAGCGGCUAGAUUCCCAAGGCUUCUACUGGUUUGGAGUAUGUGAACAACGUCGUGGCUCUUGGUGGGUAUGGAAGAAUAACGUUUAAAAGCUUGUCAUAGUGCAUAUGUAUGUUCAACACCGGUAAACAUGCAUGCAGAUUUUGCUACGGGUGUGACUUUGAUACAUCUGUAUCAACUUUUUGUUAUUUCUAACUUACCAGGGGAAAUUGUUCUUUAUCACUGCUUUCUGUCUUAGCUGCUAUGAUAAAACACCAUUACCAAAGGAGAGUUGGGAGGAAAGGGUUUAUUUCACGCACAGUUCCAUAGAACAGUUCAUCACCAAAAGCAGCGAAGGCAGGAACUCAUGUAGACCAGGAACCUGGAGGCAAGAGCUGAUGCAGAGGCCAUGGAGGAGUGCUGCUUACUGGCUUGCUCCUUAUGGCUUGCUCAGCCUGCUUUCUUAUAGAACUCAAGACCACCUGCCUAGGGAUGGCACCACCCACAGUGGGCUGGGCCCUCCCUGGCCAAUCACU